rnacentral:rRNA from 1 species
AGAGGAGGAAGCCACGGCUAACUACGUGCCAGCAGCCGCGGUAAUACGUAGGUGGCGAGCGUUGUCCGGAUUUACUGGGCGUAAAGGGUGCGUAGGCGGAUGUUUAAGUGGGAUGUGAAAUCCCCGGGCUUAACCUGGGGGCUGCAUUCCAAACUGGAUAUCUAGAGUGCAGGAGAGGAAAGCGGAAUUCCUAGUGUAGCGGUGAAAUGCGUAGAGAUUAGGAAGAACACCAGUGGCGAAGGCGGCUUUCUGGACUGUAACUGACGCUGAGGCACGAAAGCGUGGGUAGCAAACAGGAUUAGAUACCCUGGUAGUCCACGCCGUAAACGAUGGAUACUAGGUGUAGGGGGUAUCAACUCCCCCUGUGCCGCAGUUAACACAAUAAGUAUCCCGCCUGGGGAGUACGGUCGCAAGAUUAAAACUCAAAGGAAUUGACGGGGGCCCGCACAAGCAGCGGAGCAUGUGGUUUAAUUCGAAGCAACGCGAAGAACCUUACCUGGACUUGACAUCCCUUGCAUAGCCUAGAGAUAGGUGAAGCCCUUCGGGGCAAGGAGACAGGUGGUGCAUGGUUGUCGUCAGCUCGUGUCGUGAGAUGUUAGGUUAAGUCCUGCAACGAGCGCAACCCUUGUUAUUAGUUGCUACCAUUAAGUUGAGCACUCUAAUGAGACUGCCUGGGUAACCAGGAGGAAGGUGGGGAUGACGUCAAAUCAUCAUGCCCCUUAUGUCCAGGGCUACACACGUGCUACAAUGGUAGGUACAAUAAGA